rnacentral:rRNA from 1 species
AUUGAACGCUGGCGGCAGGCCUAACACAUGCAAGUCGAACGAGUGGCGGACGGGUGAGUAAUGUCUGGGAAACUGCCUGAUGGAGGGGGCUAACUACUGGAAACGGUAGCUAAUACCGCAUACCAUCGGAUGUGCCCAGAUGGGAUUAGCUAGUAGUUGGGGUAAAGGCUCACGAAGGCGACGAUCCCUAGCUGGUCUGAGAGGAUGACCAGCCACACUGGAACGGAGACACGGGCCAGACUCCUACGGGAGGCAGCAGUGGGGAAUAUUGCACAAUGGGCGCAAGCCUGAUGCAGCCAUGCCGCGUGUAUGAAGAAGGCCUGCGGGUUGUAAAGUACUUUAAGCGGGGAGGCGUUACCCGCAGAAGAAGCACCGGCUAACUCCGUGCCAGCAGCCGCGGUAAUUC